AGCGAACGCUUGCGGCAGGCCUAACACAUGCAAGUCGAACGAACCCUUCGGGGUUAGUGGCGGACGGGUGAGUAACACGUGGGAACGUGCCUUUAGGUUCGGAAUAACUCAGGGAAACUUGUGCUAAUACCGAAUGUGCCCUUCGGGGGAAAGAGUUAUCGCCUUUAGAGCGGCCCGCGUCUGAUUAGCUAGUUGGUGCGGUAAUGGCUCACCAAGGCUACGAUCAGUAGCUGGUCUGAGAGGAUUACCAGCCACAUUGGGACUGAGAAACGGCGCAAACUCCUACGGGAGGCAGCAGUGGGGAAUCUUGCGCAAUGGGCGAAAGCCUGACGCAGGCAUGCCGCGUGGAUGAUGAAGGUCUUAGGAUUGUAAAAUCCUUUCACCGUUGAAGAUAAUGACUGUAGCCGGAGAAGAAGCCCCGGCUAACUUCGUGCCAGCCGCCGCCGUAACAC
rnacentral:rRNA from 1 species